rnacentral:rRNA from 1 species
GGUUGAUCUUGCUAGUAGUCACAUGCUUGUCUCAAAGAUUAAGCCAUGUGUGUAUAAGUAUGAACUAAUUCAGACUAUGAAACUACAAAUGGCUCAUUAAAUUAGUUAUAAUUUUUUAGAUGGUAUCUAGUAUUCAGAUAACUGUAGUAAUUUUAGAGCUAAUAUAUACAACAAACCCUAACUUCUAAAUAGGGUGUAUUUAUUAGAUAAAAGGUCAAUGCGAGCUUUGCCCAUUGCUUUGAUGAUUCAUGAUAACUUGAUGGAUCACAUAACCUUUGUGUCGGUGACACAUCAUUCAUAUUUACCCUAUCAACUUUUGAUGGUAGGAUAAUUGCCUACUAUGGUGGUGAUAGGUAGCUAAGAAUUAAGAUUCAAUUUUGGAAAGGAAGCCUAAGAAAUGACUUUCACAUCCAAGGAAGGUAGUAGAUGUGCAAAUUAUCCAAUCCUAGCAUGGGGACGUAGUGACAACAAAUAACAAUACAGGCUUUAUGAGUUUGGUAAUUAGAAUGAGUACAAUCUAAAUCCCUUAAUGAUGAUCUACUGGAGAGCAAGUCGGUGGUAACACUAAUAACAUUGUACUAGCUUAAUAACCUAUAUUUAUGUUGUUGCAGUAAAAAAAUGCAUAGUUGGAACUAGGGUUGGGCUAUCGAUAUACCUUAUGGUAAGCACCAAUAUACUGGUCCCUACUACUGGUGAUGCACUUUCAGCCUUAAUAGCCUGGUUAUUCCUCUAACACUAUUACUUUAAAGAAAUUAAAGUGCUCAAAGCAGGCCUAUGCUUAUAUAAAAUAGCAUGGGAUAACAUCAUAGGAUUUUGAUUCUAUUAUGUUGGCUUUUAGGAUCAUAGUAAUGAUUAAUAAGGAUAGUUAGGGGCAUUCAUAUUUUAUAGUCAGAGGUGAAAUUCUUGGAUUUAUGAAAGACGAACAACUGCGAAAGCAUUUGCCAAGAAAGUUUUCAUUAAUCAAGAAUGAAAAUUAGGGGCUUGAAGAUGAUUAGAUAUUGUCCUAGUCUCAACGAUAAAUGAUGCCAAGCUGGGAUCAACGGAUGUUACUUUUAGGACUCCACCUUCACCUUAUAAGAAAUCAAAGUCUUUGGGUUUUAAAGGGAGUAUGGUCACAAGGCUGAAACUUAAAGGAGUUGAUGGAAGAGCACCAUCAAGAGUGGAGCUUGUAGCUUAAUUUGACUUAACACAGGGAAACUUACAAGGUCCAGACAUAGUAAAGAUUGACAAUUAAGAGCUCUUUAUUGAUUUCAUGGGUGGUGGUACAUAGCCAUUCUUAGUUGGUGGAUUGAUUUGUCUGGUAAUUUCAUUAAUGAAUGAGACCUCAGCCUGCUAACUAGCUACACAAAGGUGAUCCUUUGUGGGUAGCUUCUUAAAGGGACUAUGGUAGCUUAGGCCAAAGAAGUUUGAGGCAAUAACAAGUCUGUAAUGCCUUUAGAUUUUUUUGGCUGCACACAUGCUACAUUGAUGUAUUCAACAAGUAUAUAGCCCUGGCUGAUAGGCUUGAGUAAUCUUUGAAUUUUCAUCAUGAUGGGAAUAGAUCAUUGCAAUUAUUAGUCUUCAACAAGGAAAUCCUAAUAACCAUAAGUCAUCAGCUUGAGUUUACUAUGUCCCUACCUUUUGUAUACAUUGCCCAUCGCUCCUAUUUAAUGAAUGGUUUGAUUAAGUGUUUGGAUCAUGAUGAUGUUGAUGGUUUAUUGCCCACAACAUCAUAAGAAGUUCACUAAACCUUAUCGUUUAAAGGAAAGAGAAGUUGAAACAAGAUUUUCGUAGGUGAACCUGUAAAAG